GUGAAUCAUCGAAUUUUUGAACGCAAAUUGCACUCCCUGGUAUUCCGGGGAGUAUGCCUGUUUGAGGGUCGUUAGAACAAAAAUCGAAGCGUCGCUCUUUUUUUUUAAGGGUGAUCGCGUCGGAAUUGAGUCGUGUUUUAAAUGUUAUUUCAUGUCAAAGUGGAUUGCAAUUCAUCAAUCUGGCAGGAUUAUAGCGUAUUUAAGGUCAACUUUGAUUAAGAAGGCGCGAUGAACGUAGCAUCUAAGGUAGUACGUUUGAAUUGACGU
rnacentral:misc_RNA from 1 species